rnacentral:rRNA from 1 species
UACGGAGGGUGCAAGCGUUAAUCGGAAUUACUGGGCGUAAAGCGUGCGUAGGCGGUUCGUUAAGUCUGUUGUGAAAGCCCCGGGCUCAACCUGGGAAUGGCAAUGGAUACUGGCGAGCUAGAGUGUGUCAGAGGAUGGUGGAAUUCCCGGUGUAGCGGUGAAAUGCGUAGAGAUCGGGAGGAACAUCAGUGGCGAAGGCGGCCAUCUGGGACAACACUGACGCUGAGGCACGAAAGCGCGGGGAGCGAACGGG